GUAAUUCGUGGGUAGUAAACAGCACAGGUCGCGCUGUAUAAACGUCGUUGGCCACAGUCUUUCUUUCUUCAAGCUACCGAACAUCCAAGGUAUUAUUUUUUUUAAAUUAAGCUGAACCACAAAGAUGCAGUCCAGUAAAAGUAGUCGUACGAAUAACGCCGACUCGGCACGCAAUAAAGGCGAGUUUAUCGGUUCAUCAACAGACAAAUAUCUACUACCUUCAUCUCACAUUUUAGAUGGCAGACAGUCAAUCGCGGCAAAGGCCAAAAUGAAAAGAUUGCGACUAAACGAGCAAUUGUGUUUAGUUUGCGGUGAUAGAAGUUCUGGUUACCAUUACAACGUGCUCACCUGCGAAGGAUGUAAAGGAUUUUUCCGCCGGAGUUUAACAACAACGACAGUCUACCGGUGUACAAAUAACAACAAUUGCUAUAUUGACAUGUACAUGAGACGUAAAUGCCAAGAAUGUCGCCUGAAAAAGUGCCUGGCGGUGGGAAUGCGAUUGGAACAGAAAAUGACGGUACCCGUGCGUGUCGUCACCAGACUAACCACUAGAGGAAAGAAACAGGCCUUCAAACAUCUUAGCGCCGAACAGCAGCAGCUCAUUAGCCGACUCAUUUCCUAUCAGAAGGAAUACGAUCUGCCAUCAGAAGAAGACUUGAAAAAAAUAUCGAUGUCGGGCACAGAGCAAAUGAACGCAGAAGCCAAAUUCCAGUACAUGACGGAAAUGACGAUUCUGACUGUGAAGCUGACGGUGGAUUUUUCUAAACGAUUACCCGGUUUCGACACGAUAUUGCGGGACGACCAAAUCACGCUGCUUAAAGCCUGUUCGAGUGAAGUGAUGAUGUUGCGCUGCGCACGACGCUAUGAUGUCAAAACCGAUUCCAUCAUCUUUGCCAACGAUCAAAGACAUGACCGUCAAUCGCUCAGUAUGGCUGGAAUUGGCCAUACUGCCGAUUCCAUCUUCAAUUUCGGUAAACUGUUGUCCGCCAUGAAAGUGGACGAUGCCGAAUACGCUCUACUCACUGCCAUUGACAUCUUUUCAGAACGACCGGGACUAGUGGAAGGGCGAAAGGUGGAAAAGAUUCAAGAAAUCUACUUGCAAACGCUGCAGGCUUACGUGAUUGGUCGUCGAAGGCCAAUGGCCGUCAACCUUGCCAAGCUCCUAUCCGUGCUAAUUGAGCUGCGCAUGCUCAGUAAGCUCAGUUCUGACAUGUGCUACUCGCUGAAGCAUAAAAACAAGAAAUUACCGCCAUUCCUUGUCGAAGUAUGGGACAUUCAAUAAUAUUUCUUUAGAUAAAAUAGAUUCAAUUUGGUUUAGACACAACGCAUACGGAGGGAAAACCUUCUCCGUACAUGAAAGUACCACUUGAAAUACUGCAUAAAACAUUUAGUGUAAACGGUUAAAGGCUUUUUUUUUACGAAUCGACGAAAUUGACGGUGAAACAAUUCGCAAUUCACGCAACCCUUAAGGUAUAAAACAGAUUGCAGCUUAAAGAGUUGUACGCUACUCCAUUGGAAACAGCUGAGCUGCUGGCCGUUGAAUUCAAUUCACUGCUGUAUGUAUCUGCCUUACGUUGGGGAAAUAAAGCUUUCAAAGGGAGCCUUGUUUUUCUGGAUUUUCAAUGAAAAAAUUCUUAACUUGACAAUCUUUAGAUGUGGAAAGAAGAAUAAGAUCAUUGAUUUCAUGAGGGAAACAAAAUGGAGUCGAGUUUUUAGAAGCCUAAGGUAUUCAAAUAAAUGCAACUAAUCAAAUGUGAUAAUGAAACGAAAGCAUAAUAGCAAAAUCCAUUUGCAAUGGCCGCAAGAGUGUAAACGCAAAGUUAAAAAAAUACGGUCGCCGAACCCAAGACAAAGAAUUUUCCUUCAGUAACAACAUGACUGUCGUCUGCUACGGUACGAAAGAAUCAAAUGUUUAACAGCGAAAGGAAUGAAACUUAGCUUUACAUAAAAUUUAAAAAAUGCUCAAUCGCUUCUCAAUGAAAAAUAGCUCAUUUCAUUACAAUAAUCUUGGAUGCUACUAUAAAUUUUUGUGCAAUAUGGUAGCGGUAGGCUUUUCGAAAAGUCUACUAAAGAGUAAAAGAAAUGAAAGGCAUUUUCACACAUCUAGAUAUUUAUCCCAGAGUCUUGUACUAGGGAUAGAAACUAGUUGUGAUGAUACCGGUGCAGCAAUAGUUGACUC